UACGUAGGGGGCUAGCGUUGUCCGGAAUCAUUGGGCGUAAAGCGCGCGUAGGCGGCCAGAUAAGUCCGGUGUGAAAGUCACAGGCUCAACCUGUGAAUGCCGCUGGAAACUGUCUGGCUAGAGUCCGGGAGGGGCGAGUGGAAUUCCUGGUGUAGCGGUGAAAUGCGCAGAUAUCAGGAGGAACACCGGUGGCGAAGGCGGAUCUCUGGGCCAUUACUGACGCUGAGGAGCGAAAGCGUGGGGAGCGAACAGG
rnacentral:rRNA from 1 species